AUCCCUGUAGUGCAAUGGAUAGCACGUUGGACUUCUAAUACAAAGGUUGUAGGUUCGAAUUCUACCUGGGACG